rnacentral:tRNA from 1 species
AGGAAUGUAGCUCAGUGGUAGAGUGCUUGCCUCGCAUGUGUGAGGUGCUGGGUUUGAUCCCCAGCACUGCAA